AUACGUAGGGUGCAAGCGUUAAUCGGAAUUACUGGGCGUAAAGCGUGCGCAGGCGGUUUUGUAAGACAGAGGUGAAAUACCCGGGCUCAACCUGGGAACUGCCUUUGUGACUGCAAGGGUAGAGUACGGCAGAGGGGGAUGGAAUUCCGCGUGUAGCCGUGGAAUGCGUAGAUAUGCGGAGGAACACCGAUGGCGAAGGCAAUCCCCUGGGCCUGUACUGACGCUCAUGCACGAAAGCGUGGGGAGCAAACAGGAUUAGAUACCCUGGUAGUCCACGCCCUAAACGAUGUCAACUGGUUGUUGGGUCUUCAUUGACUCAGUAACGAAGCUAACGCGUGAAGUUGACCGCCUGGGGAGUACGGCCGCAAGGUUGAAACUCAAAUGAAUUGACGGGG
rnacentral:rRNA from 1 species